CCAGACAGCUGCUCUUUGUAGCCUCCACCCCGCCCCUGAUCACCUGGUCAGCGUGUCCCACUUGGUCUGAGCAGUCUGGCCUCAGGGUGGUCAGAGGUCCCAUAGCUUCUGAGACCUUCAAGCAUUCCCUCCUCCAAAGCCAGGCCUCAGUGGUGAUUCUGGGGCAGCAGCUCCUCUUCCCCUGCCAAUAUGGGGUCUGCAGAGCCCCUGACCAAGAGUCAGUCCAGUGGUCUGGGACCACAGCUGCCCUAGGAGACCCCAGGACCACAGCCAAGCUGGGAUGUGCACCUGCAGAGCCAACAGCACAGCUGGUGCGCAGUCAGAAAACACCGGCACCCCAGGAAGCUGGGAGUCCUGGCCCACCCCAGGCCUAGGGUGGCAUCAGAUGGCUGGGAAGGAGGAGGCAGUGAUGGGCACCGCCCCUCUGGGCCUCCCUCAACCUCUCCGCCCAUAAGCUAGAGCAAGAAAACUUGCCCAGCAGCCUCCCAGGAACAGGAAAGACUGGAAAACUCACAAACCAAGGUGUCCAGGAUGGGGGAGCUGUUAGGUCAGCAUCCACCCACCUGGUGGCUGGGCAGCCAAAUGUUUGUGUGACGGGGCCACAUUCAUGCCAUGAAACCAGAGACAGCACACCAAGCCAACCCAGCACCACACAGAAGAGAUGGGAUGGAGACAAACAUGGGCAGAGGCUACAGGACUUGGACACUUACACUUAUGCAAAAACCUGCACCUGGAUGUUGAUGGCAGCUUUAUUCAUAAAUGCCAAAACUAGGAAGUAACCAAGACACCCUUCAAUAGAUAACAGGGGUGCCUGGGCCCCACGGGCUGGACCCUGUUGGUGAAUGACCCAGCAGCAGCCACACCAGACUCCCCCUGAAAAGUCUCCAGAAGCUGAGGUUCCCAGUGCCAGCAUCCAGGUAGGCCCUCUGCAGCCUGUCGAUUUCCUUUUUCCUGACUCCUUCCCCCAUCUGUGCCCGCACCAGUUCAGGAGACCCAGGGGUUCCCACAGCUCCAUAAUGCCCCCUCCCUGCUAGUGAGACUCCUGCUAGAAGUUCCGGUGCCCCCAUGGCCUCACCAGGUGUCACAGCACCUGCACCAGAUCCCAAGUGCCCCAAGGGGCUGAACAUCACAAUAAGUGAGCCACACAAGGAACCUCGGGGCCUUUGAACAAAUACCCUCUCUGCCUGGACUCUGCACCAAAGCCAGGACUCUGAAGACACCGAGGACACUGGUGCUCCCAGGGCCCCAUGCAGGAGGCCUGAGGCGGGGCAGCCACCCCAGGAAAACGUCUACAUCAGAUACAUCUCCGGCCACGUGGAAGUGGCACGUGUGGCCUGCAGGCUGGGGAGAAGCAGGACCACAGUCUGAGGCAGAACUGCAGGUGGGCAGGCUGCAGGGCCUUGCUUCCCCUGAGGGCACUGCGUGGCUUUCCUGACCAAAGGUCCUGGAAAGGCUUGGCGAGGAGCAAGUCAAUGCCCUUGGUCAUCAGAGGCUGGCCACAUGGGCCAGGGCUUCCAGAGCUCUCAGGGGAGGUAGGUGGGAGACAGCUCAGAUGCUCCCACACACCCAAACAAGGACACUGAGAGGCAGAGGUGUCCUGGGCUCCCCAGACCUGAGGGGACUCAGCCUCGCUUCCUGGGCCUCAGGAGGCCUGGCCUUCCCCCAUCUCAGAUUUCCAAACACAAGGAGAUGACUGACCUAGCUGAGUUCAGGCCCACUUCCCAGGGGCAGGCUCCAGCCCGCAUGACGGCUGCACCAGCCCCAUCUUCUCCUUGUAGGGUGGCCAGGGCUGGCAUGGGCCACUCAACAGAGGUGCCACACCACUGGAGGCGGCAAAGCUGGCCUGUGAGCAGGUGGCUGGGCUCCACACAGGUGGAGCAGAACACCCAGGGUGCUAGACCCAAAGACGACAGAGGCAGGGAACCACCCAGUGAGGCUCUGGGAAUCCCACCCUGCUCCUCCCACUGCACCCACGGCCCCUUCACCAGGAGGGCCCCAUUCUUAGUGUGCUGGACACUCCCACUGCCCACUGCAUGGAUGCCACACACAGGGCACUCCACACACAUAUCACACACCACACACACCAAACACUCCACGCACACACACCACACAUGCAUACAUGUAACACACGUGCACACACACACACAGACACACACACCAGCCAAGCAGGCAGGAUGCUGCUCAGGGGGACAGCAUCACCCACCUGAGAGGUUCUGGGACCCCGAGGCCUUACCUCUCUGGGUGACAACACUUUUGUCAACAAAGACGCAGCCUCGCCUGCACCUUGGUGGCCAGAUUUGGCGAAUGAAAGUGCAGGGCACACAGUCACAUCAAGUCCCAGAAAGCAGGAAUCCAGACUUUCCUCUGGCCACCCGCCUGCCUCUUCACCCCCUGGCUAGGCACCCCCAGGUGUGAACCAAGGGGCCCUCUGCCCCAACGGACUUUGGUCCAGGGGGUGGUGGGCCAGCGCCCGAGGGGCCCCUGGGUCAGACACUGCAGUGCUCCUUUGCUCCCUUGCUCAGUUUUGGAAUCACUAUGGCCAACUCCCAGCUCCCCAUCUUCUCGACAGCCUCGCCCCUCACUUGGAAUUUGUCUGGAAUCCCCCUCGGCCCCCUGGGUCUCAUUUCUUGAACUUCGGGAGCAGAGGGGCUGACAGGGGUCGCAUCACAGAGAGCAUGUUGGACACAAACAACCCUGGAAUUGCCCUUGGGGCCCUGCAGGGGGCACAGGGGUGAGUGUGUGAGGUCCACCUCCAUGCAGGGGUUAGCCAGUGGCCUCACCCUGGGGACCCUGUAACAGCUGAGGGCGUGCAGCAGGACCGGCUCACUGCGCCUGUUAAAGGGAGAGCAGCUGUCACGAACCAUGCACAUGUGAAGAGCUUGGGCAAUACGUGGAGGGCCAGGCUCCCAGUGGCAUGGGCCACUGUGGAUAAAAUGAGAGUUCCUGUGGCCAGGAUUCUCACCUGACCCUGGUCGGCUAGCUCACUACACACGUGUGGGCAAUACAUUGCUAUUGACUCUAUAGAAAGAGCUCUGCCCAGUGGUCUGCGUGACAGGGUGGCAUGGCUGCAGGGCAGCAAGAGAGCACAGCAGAGGCUGGAGUGCUGGCAGCACCGAGGACAGAGGCCCAGAGGCAGAGAUUGGCUUGCUGCAUGCAGACUCGCUCUGAGUGAACAGGAUUCUAGUGACUGACCUGCCACCAUGGAAAUAAAGUUGGGUGUAACCCUUUCACCCCAAGAUUGUUCUACUGUCAUUUCUUUGGUCACACUCCAUAGUGAACUUGCCCAGGGCUGAAACCCAUUGGCAAGACAGCCACAGUCCAGCACCAGAUGCAGCUUCCCAGGGACAUGCCCUCCUGUGGCCCCUGGAGGUGCUUUCUAGUUCACGCAUGGGACCGGCAUGCUGGGCACUCUUCUUGGGGUGGCUGGCCUACCCAAACACACACACAGCAGACGCCUGUGGAAAAAUCCUGGCCAGGCCAACUGUGCUUCCUAGGGCCCAGGCCCCCCACCAGGCCCUGUGCUGGAGAGGAAAGACCCGACCCACCUGGGCCAACUUCAGGUACCCUUCUCAGGGACGCAAAACAAGCAUGAACAUGAGAAAGGCCACUUGGCAGCCACCCUGCCAGGCUGCAGGGCCACCCUGACCUGGACGGCCCACAGAAGAGCCUCUGCAACCCAUCCUCCCAGCUAGGGACCCACCCCCAGCCUCCUGUGCCCUCUAACAGCCUAGGGCCGGGGACCUCCCCAGGGGUGCCAAGACACAGCACCCUCACGCCAGCCAUGAGGCACAGUGGCUGCUGAUUGAGGCUGGUGGCUUUCCCCCCUCAUCAUCACCACUUGUGGAGGUUCAGGCCCACCUCUGGGGACCCUACCGACAGCCUGCCCCUUACAAGCACCCAGUGUCCUCUCCAAAGCCUUUCUGGGGCACAGGAGCCAAGUCUCAAUGCUCGAGCCACGAGGAAGUAGACAAGCCUCUGCAAACCAGCCACGUUCACAGGAGCCAAUGUUACCGCCCCUGAAUCGUCAGCCUGCUCUCGCCUGUCGAGUCCACCAUGUACCGCACCUGUGGGUCAGGCCUUCCUGUCUCAGGGCAUCUGGGCUCCCCCAGGUGGCUGAGCAGGCGGUCCACAGGAUGAAGCAGCCAGUCAGUGGAGCAGUGGGGGUGCUCCUGAGGACCUCUGCCCACUCCAGGACACCCUCCUUUCUGGGGCAGAGGAGGAGGGAGUGGGCUGAGAUGCUCUCCUGGGGGUGGGGUCCUGGAGAAGCGGAGCCAGGAGAGGGGGAGCACAGACAGUUCCUCAAUGUCUAGGAAGGGAGGUGGAGAGAACCCACAUGCAGGGAUGGGUGACAGGGCCCUCCUUGGACAGCACAGGACUCUCCCUAGCAGAUCCCCAAACUCCCCACCACUUCCUGCCUCCUAGACACACACAGGAGGGGCAGGCCACCCCUCCAUGCUCUCUGCAAGUCCACCACCCCAGCUGCCCAGCAAACUGUUGCUUCCAGCCCCACAGGUGGGGUGGGGAAACCAAGGCCCAUCUAGGUCAUAUGGCUGGGCUGCCUGGUCUCCCACCCGGGUCUCCUGCACACCCCACCCCGGACUGGGCAGCCUCUGCCCCCACCCUUCCCAGAGUCAGUGGGCAGGGUCCCAAAGCAGUCCACCUGACUGCCCACGCACACACCUUCAGCUGUCUGCACGGGCACCUCCCAGGGAGGGGUGUCUGCUGGGUAGCCCCAGGAAGCCAAAGUCACCUGCCCACUCACCCUGCCCACCACCCCCAGAGCUCUGGGGCCUGACUGGACACCAUCAAGGAGCCAGCUCCGUCACCAUGGAGAGCACCCUAGUAAAGAAGUGCAGGGUCCAGGGCUGACCAGCGCUUGCCACCACCUGUCUGGCACAGGGGGCAGAGCCACUGUGGGCAGCCUGUGAGCCUGUGAUGCUCACCACUCCCAGACCUGGACCUGCCAGGCCUGGCGCUGGGAUGGCCGCCCAUCUAUGGGGUGUGUCUGCACCCCGGUUCUCGGGAGCCAGUCCCAGGCUCCCAUGGGCUGCAGCCCAGCCUACAUGCAGCUUGCCUCCCACUGCCCUCUGGGCACCAGGUUCUAAUAGAUGCAAGGAAACCUCCCAAGACUUCUCCCAGCCACAUGUGGUCCAAGUUGUCCCCCAAGAUGCCACCCCCUCAAACUGGUACUGACUCUUAGGCUUCAGGCACCCUGCAGUUGUCUCCGCAAAGCCCCCAGACCCAGACAACAAUAGAGGAGCCCUGCUAAACAGAAAGGUCAGAGAGCAGAGCCAGAGGGCAGCCUGCCCAACAGCUGGGUAAAGGUCUACUCCUGCUGGCUGGCUGUGGUUUGGCAAUUAAAAUACAGAAUGCUACCGCGCUCCCCAUUCCCGAGCCCAACGAGCCAGAGCAAGGGGAGCAGUGAAGCGGCGGAGCAGGGCCAGUACAGGACGCCGGCUUUCUGUCCAAAGGAACGGAUUCAUUGUAGGACUCCAGGUGUCUCUGGGGGAGGGCAGGUGGUGGAGGCUGGCCAAACAGCACAAACCUUCAGCUGUAAGACAGAGGUCUGAGGGGCUAACAUACUACAUGCUGAAUGGAGAUCACAGCCCUGCACAUUGUACAACUGAGAUGUGCCAAGAACACAAGUGUUCUCACCUACAGGGGGCGAUGGGAUCCCUCCACAACAUACACACACGCCAGAUCUUCACACUGCAUGCGUUCAACAUACUGCACCUGUACUUGUCCAUUACUCCUCAGUAAAGCUGAAAAAGUGAAACUGAAUUUUGUAAAUUGUGUAAGAAAAAGAAAAAGAACAAGGUAUGUGUGGGUAUGCACAUAUUUGCUGCAAACCAGAUGUGUGGACAUGCAGCUUUGUGAGGGGGAUUGGCCCAGUGGGUGCACCGUGGGCACGGCCAUACUGGGGCACAGUGCACCUGGCAUGCUCAGAAUAUGUGCACACAGCCCGGGAUGCUCAUGGGGACUCCAGAACGGGUGUUUCAAAACAAAAUGGUCACACGUUGCAUGUGGUCAGGAAAUAGUUUCUGUGAUACCAAAUCCUAGAUUUCUCAGGGCUUACAUUAUAUUUUCAGAAUUCUUUGCUGUCAUUUCUGAAGUAGGUCCAAUUGAAAGGCUCCUCCUGGUACCCUGCUCUCUCCUCCAGGAGGAGCACCUGUGGAUAACUUCUCACCUGUAAGUACCAGAGGGCCUAUGGGCAACUUUUGGUAUCUGUGAGCAAUGGUUUAAAGCCAUGCAGGAAGACCCCUCCACUUGCCAAGCAGUACUGAGCAUCUCAGCCUGGAGCUAACUCACGCUGGCCUGCAGCACAACUCUGGGGCUGUGACUGGGCAGGGCCCCAGGGGCUUGAAACUCUACCUGCACAGGGACCCCUAAGGCAGCUUUGGCCAGGGGGGUGCAGAUGGGCCCCUUCUCAGCAGACCAUCUGUACACCCGGCCAACGUACAUUACUGGGGUGUCACAUCAUACUGAGGGUCACAGAAGGCAAAGAUGCCCCAAUGCACCCCACCUUUAGAGCCUGGGGUCCUGGACAGAACAUCACAGCCCUGUCCCAGGUGGGUGUGUGAUGGGGAGACUCUCAAACCCUAGUGUUUCUAAAACCCACAGUCCACAAAAUCUGUGACAGGGAGGCCAGGGUGGGAUGACCUCUACACUCUGAAAUUUCAUUUCAUGAUUUUAUUUGAUUACAAAAGUAAUAUUAUGCUCUUGGAAAACAAGUUGGAAAGUGCAGAAAAGUAUAAAAGCAGCAGGAAAAAACCCACUUAACCCUUUUAAUAUGUUAGCAUCCCUCCCUCCAGCAGGUUUUCUGUUUUAACUAACUCAUACCAACUGGCGUAUUACAUAGACAAUGCUGAAUUUUGCUUUCAUUUGCAUUUGUAGCAGAAACAUUUUCCCAUACCAUUGAAAUCUUGCCGUAAACAUCAUUACUGAUGAUUGCAUAAUUUCCUAUUGUGUGAGUAUCUUAUAAUCCACUCGAUCACCCCCCCAGUUCUACCAUCUAAGAAUCUGGAAUUCUUGAUUUAUUCAAUGAGUAUUCAAUAUAUCUCUUUAUAUAUUUUUAAGCCUGCUCAGGUGGAUUUCUAACAGAUAUCCAGUUAAAGGGCACGGUCACUUUAAAAGUCAGAAGCAGGUUUUGGAGUGUCUACUCCAGCAGUUUCUAGGAAACGGACUGCGUGCCCGCCUAGCUCAAAUACCUUUGUCCAAAGCUCUGGGAAUAACAGCCUUCCAUCUGCACAAAACCCUCAGAGACCCACAAGGAGGCAGGGAAGACAAUCUGACCAGACAGCAAAUGCAGCCCAAGGUCAUAUUAACAGAAAUACUGCUCUGGACCAAAGGAGGUGAGACCCCAGUCCUGCAUCAACCUGGAGGGUGAGUGGGAUGGAGCCUGGGGACCCUCAGAGGCAGCUGAGAGUGAGAGGUGGGCUCAGGUCUCGUCUGCUGCUUCCUCCGGGCACUGGUGCUCCCAGGUCCUGUCCUGCUGGAACAUUCUAAGAUCUGUUCCUUGCCAUGUUUUCCUUUAGCCAUAAAGGACAAGAAAAGCAAAAAUUAGGAUAUGGAAAGCUGGCCGGGCUCCAGCUGGGCCCUGCUGCAGGCACCCAGGGACCACUAUGCUGAUGUGGGGCCUAGCAUAGGGCUGCACUGGUGAAAGUGCCGGGAACACCGAGCUUUGGUGUCCCACCCCUCAAUCAGGGCUGCCUGGCUCCCAGAACACCCAGAUGAGAUGGGGCCACAUGGACCUCCCCCUGAGCAGGGAGCCCCAUGUCCUCCUCGGGACACUCACUCCAAGCAAGCACGGAAUCUCGUUUUGCCAUUAGUCCCACUCUGUGGGCAGACACUUCCCCAAAGGCCUGGAGGGUUCUCUCGACGAGCAGCGCCAGGAUGCGGCUGCCAAGCCAGGUGGUGCUGCGUGACACUGGAAAGCCUUUUCCUCCCAUCACGAGCAGCAAGGAUCACAGGGAGCAGGCCACCCAGGGGUGGCCCCAGCACACGGUUUCCUCCUGAGUUCAAGAGUGCACUGAACCUCUGAGUCCUGGCAUGCCAGGAGGUCAGUGUGGCCGGGAGGCAACUGCCAGCCAGCUCUUCUGCCCUCAGGUUCUGACAGGGAGCAGGCCUGGUGCCUCAGGAGCUGGCAGGCCCUGCAGAGCAGGUGGAUGGCCAGUGGGAGCAGGGGCCCCAGCAGAGUGGCCUGGGGCAGACACCAGGCCUCCUCCUGCCCCAGAGCCCCCAGCUGGGCCACAUGAUGAGGUAUCCAGGAGCAGGCCCGUCCUCACUCACAGCCACAGGAGGCCAGGGCUCCCUGCACUCAGAGUUUGCUGCUGGAGACUCGGAGGCCUUCCCCAAGGACAAAGCCCGGGGGGAGAGCUCCGGCCCCUCAGAGGCAUACCCGGGUCUGCAGGAGACCAACUGGCAUGCAGCGUCUGUUCCCAUGUGAGCCUGGCCGGCUGCUCCAGUGGUGUGGGGGUCAGAGCCAUCGGGCUGCGGUG